GUGGGGAAUUUUGCUCAAUGGGGGAAACCCUGAAGCAGCAACGCCGCGUGGAGGAUGAAGGAUUUAGGUCUGUAAACUCCUUUUAUAAGGGAAGAAAUUUGACGGUACCUUAUGAAUAAGCACCGGCUAACUCCGUGCCAGCAGCCGCGGUAAUACGGGGGGUGCAAGCGUUAUCCGGAUUCAUUGGGUGUAAAGGGUGCGUAGGCGGAGCGUUAAGUCAGUGGUGAAAUCCUGCAGCUUAACUGUAGACUUGCCAUUGAUACUGGCGCUCUUGAGUGCGCUUGAAGUGGGCGGAAUGUGCCGUGUAGCGGUGAAAUGCUUAGAUAUGGCACAGAACACCAAUUGCGAAGGCAGCUCACUAAGGCGAUACUGACGCUGAGGCACGAAAGCGUGGGGAUCGAACAGGAUUAGAUACCCGAGUAGUCC
rnacentral:rRNA from 1 species